GAUGAACGCUGGCGGCGUGCCUAAUACAUGCAAGUAGAACGCUGAAGGAAGGAGCUUGCUCUUUCCGGAUGAGUUGCGAACGGGUGAGUAACGCGUAGGUAACCUGCCUGGUAGCGGGGGAUAACUAUUGGAAACGAUAGCUAAUACCGCAUAACAGUAGAUGUUGCAUGACAUCUGCUUGAAAGGUGCAAUUGCACCACUACCAGAUGGACCUGCGUUGUAUUAGCUAGUUGGUGAGGUAACGGCUCACCAAGGCGACGAUACAUAGCCGACCUGAGAGGGUGAUCGGCCACACUGGGACUGAGACACGGCCCAGACUCCUACGGGAGGCAGCAGUAGGGAAUCUUCGGCAAUGGACGGAAGUCUGACCGAGCAACGCCGCGUGAGUGAAGAAGGUUUUCGGAUCGUAAAGCUCUGUUGUAAGAGAAGAGCGAGUGUGAGAGUGGAAAGUUCACACUGUGACG
rnacentral:rRNA from 1 species